rnacentral:hammerhead_ribozyme from 1 species
UAGCGAAACCUCGCCCACCAGGGCGACGGUCUGCCGGGUGUGGUUGCCCGGUACUGAUGAGCAGCCAAGA